UCCUAGCCACGAUUGCAGCAAUUGUCUGAGCUCAUUUUUCUGAUUUCAGGGGGCGCGGCGAAGCCGCGCCCCCUGAAAUCAGAAAAAUAGCGAGUGCGGAAAGCGUGAUAAAGC
rnacentral:misc_RNA from 1 species